GUGCAGCGGAUCGCCUGGGGCUGGAAACGGAGCAGC
rnacentral:SRP_RNA from 1 species